rnacentral:rRNA from 1 species
UACGAAGGGGGCGAGCGUUGUUCGGAUUUACUGGGCGUAAAGGGCGCGCAGGCGGCUCUACAAGUCAGGCGUGAAAGCCCCGGGCUUAACCUGGGAACUGCGUUUGGGACUGUGGGGCUAGAGAUCGGGAGAGGAGAGUGGAAUUCCCAGUGUAGAGGUGAAAUUCGUAGAUAUUGGGAAGAACACCAGUGGCGAAGGCGACUACCUGGUCUGGCAUUGACGCUCAUGUGCGAAAGCGUGGGGAGCAAACAGG